AGCUUUGCGCAGUGGCAGUAUCGUAGCCAAUGAGGUUUAUCCGAGGCGUGAUUAUUGCUAAUUGAAGUGUUUUUGAAGUAUAUGAUAGAGUGCUUGUUGAGUCUAUCCUGAUACUUCCCCUGGAAUAUUCUCUUUUAUUCUGGGAAGACAAAGCUUUCAAAUGGAA
rnacentral:snRNA from 1 species